ACGGGCGUGGUAUAACGGAAUUACUACAGCCAUCUGGCUGCUGAUGCGGGUUCAAAUCCUGCCGCCCGUA
rnacentral:tRNA from 2 species